GCUUAAUCAAGUGCACUUUUUAAUGCAGGCUAAUUAAGUUCCUGCCAGGGGCUUUUGAAGGUGCAACCUCAGUGGUCCGGUAGAAAUGUGUUGUGCAAAAAGGUUGCACACACAUUGAGAUCGUGUCCAAAAAUUCCAUACUGUGACAAAUUAAAUGAAGUUGUCUGUUGACGUACACUAGACAAGAGAUUGUCCAACAGUAAACUAACUUCUUGUUGAAAAUUCAAUGCAUAUACAAUUUCAUUCAUGUUCAUGAGUCUGGCCAAACAGUCAACUACAACAGGCAAAUAUGUCAAGUUGUCCAAAAGUCCUGGGUGACAUCUUAUGCUAGCUAAACUGUCAUGUUAGUGCCUACCAGCUUCCGCUUUGGAACUUAAUGGAUCCAUUAAAGGGCCUAAUUCUCAUACUACGCAGUUCGAUUGAUUGGUUAAGAAAAAUGUGCAUGUUUAAAGACAGUCUAUACAGAAUUUAUUUGUUAAUUGAGCGGUUAAACCGUUCCAGGCAUUGUAGAUACCAAAUACACAGGAGCCUGUGGUACAAUAAAUGGACUAGGAGGAAUGGGCUACAGCUGAAGAGUAUUGAGGCAGUCAAAGUAAAAGGCCCAUCAAAAUCCAGUUGAAGCUAGAACAUUUUGAAUGGGCUGCGUCUCAAGACACUGCAGCCGCCCGUUGCAUCUGCGGUGGACAGGGGCCGAGCUACAGUGGUGUUGGUCUGACACCCAAAAAAUGCAGUCUCAAAAACAUCUAUAGCUUCAGAACGGUUUGGCCUACAAACUGACCAUUAUGGGAAAUUGACUCCCGAACAUAGUUACGUUUCCCUCUAUGACCCCACAAUUGUAAGACAGGUAACCCAUACAAACAGAAGUAUGGAGGUAGAAGCAUCAACAAUAACAUUUGAUUCAGCUAGAUAUGGAACAGACACUCCUAAACUGAUUUGACUCUUUGCCAUUUGUGGUAUGGGCUAUAGUAUAAGGCCAAAUGCAAGUUUGAAACCAAAUGGUCACUCAAUUCUAGUAGCUAAAUGAGCCAUGGUCUGACCAUCUAAAAACCAUUCCCUAUAUGUUAGCUUACUGAGGUUGAAGACAGUCUCACUGUAUACAAUGCAUGCCUACAUCUAAAGUAUGAACAUAUGAAGAAGGUCUGACAACUCACCCCUUGACAAAUGUAGACCCAAGCUUUUAUUUUGAACAACCAGUAGCAAAGGUAAAAGACUAGAAAACCAAAGAAUUAACUGAGCAGUCAUUUUUACUACAGACUGCACACCACCUGUUCUCAAUUAGCAAGCAAUGGACACAAGAACCACUAUUUCACAGAGACAGGGCAUUUUUUUAAAGAAGAACUGUUCAUGUACUCCCUCACGCUAGAGUAGCAAGAGCACCAGACACUUCCUGGUCGAAACAAAAGCAGAAAGAAAUGCAGUGUCAGCAACACAGAAUGUUAAGUAACCAAUGUCAAAAACAAUUCUCACCAUUAGCUUCUAGAGGAUGAAUCCAUUACAUUUUCUUGUUGAAAGAUAUGGUUAGUACAAAGGACUUCAAAUUCAGAGAGCAAAGUUCAGAGCAGGUUAAAGUGAACCAUUACCUUGCAGAAUCUUUCACUAGUGAUGGAUAUACGCUUGGUGCACCAGUACGAACAAAACUGUCCUUGGGAGCAUUUCCAAUGUGAACAAGCAUAGCCUCCCUAGGAGUGUAGCGGGUUAGGGAGAAUACAGUCCUGCCAUUCUCGUAGUGCGAUUUGGAACUGUAGGAAUAGAUUGGGAUGACACCUGUCUGUUCACCAUCUUCAGUGGUUUCGUAGUGAUUCUGCUGAGACAUUGGGGCCAGUUGCUUCUGGGGCAUUUGAGCUACAUGCCAUAAUUGCUGAGGCAUGGGGGUCAGUUGGUGCUGUGGCAUGGCAGUGUGUUGCUUCCGCUGCUGGGACAUUUGAGCUGGAUACCCCACUUGCUGGGGUAUGGUGGCCGGUUCGUUCUGCUGCGGUUCAGCAGCCGGUUGCUUCUGCGGUAUUUGAGCUGGUUGCCACUCUUGCUGAGGCACGUCGGUCAGUCGCUUCUGCGGUAGAGGCAUGGAGGUCAGUUGCUGCCGUGACAUUUGAGCUGGAUACCACACUUGCUGGGGUACGGCGGUCGGUUGCUCCUGCGGUAGAGGCGUGGAGGCCGGUUGCUUCUGCUGCUGGGGAAAUUCAGCUGGAUGCCAUACUUGCUGAUGCGUAUGCGGCAUGGCGGUCACCGCAGCGACUUGCUUCUGGACCAUUUUAGCUGGAUACCACACGUCGUGAGGCUGUUGGGGCAUAGGGGCCGGUUGCUUCUGUGCCCGAUGCCACACUUGCUGAAUCAUGGCAGCCGGCUGCUUAUGCUGCUGGGGCAUUUGAGCGGAUUGCCACAGUUGUGGUGGAUUGGCGGUCAGUUCCGUCUGCAGUUGACGCAUAGGGACGGGUUGCUCCUGGGGAAAUUUGGCUGGAUGCCACUGAGGUUCAGCGGUUGGUUGCUUCUGGGGCAUUUGAGCUGGAUACCAUGCUUGCUGGGGCAUGGCGGUCAGUUCAAUCUGCUCCUGAGGAUCAGCGGCCAGUUGCUUCUGGGGCUUAGCUGGAUACCACACUUGCUGGGGCAUGGCAGUCAGUUGCUUCAGCAGCAUUUGAGCUGGAUGCAACACUUGCUGAGGUUGCUGGGUUAUGGAGGCCGGUUCCUUCUGCUGCUGAGGUUCAGUAGCCGGUUGCUUUUGCUGCUGGGGCAAUUGAGCUGGAUGCCACACUUGCUGCUGCAUGGUGGCCGGUUGCUUCUGCUGCAUUUGAGCUGGAUACCAUGCUUUCUGGGGCAUAGCUGUUGGUCGUUUCUGCGGUAUAGGCAUUGGAGCCGGUUGCUUCUGGGGCAUGGUGGUCAGUUCGGUCUGCUGCUGAGGACCAGUAGCUGGUUGCUUUUGCUGCUGAGGAAUUUGAACUGGGUACCACACUUGCUGAGGUAGCUGGGGUAUGGAGGCCUGUUCCUUCUGAUGCUGAAGUUCAGUAACUGGUUGCUUCUGGGGUAUUUGAGCUGGAUAAAACAUUGCUUGAGGCUGCUUAGGAUAACUGGCCGGUAGCGUCUGCUGUUGGCUCAUGGCGGCCGGUUGCUUUUCCUGCUGGGGCAUUUGAGUUGGAUACCACAUUUUCUGAGGUGCCUGGGGCAUGGGGGCCAGUUGCUUUUGCAGGAUGGCUGCCAGAUGUUUCUGUUGCUCUUCGGUCAGCUGCGCUUGCAAUUGAGCUGUUGGAGAGUUGUAAUUACCAUAUCCUUUAGACCUAAGUGGGCCUGUAUAGAGCCAUGCUGCAUCAGAACCUGGUGCAGGAUACCCAUCACCUAGGUUAGAUAAAGAGAAAAGGUAAAAUGCCAG
ensembl:lncRNA